GGAGGGUGCGAGCGUUGUCCGGAAUCACUGGGCGUAAAGGGCGCGUAGGUGGCUCGUGAAGCGUGCGGUGAAAGUCCGAGGCUCAACCUCGGAUCGGCCGUGCGGACUCGCGGGCUCGAGCGUUGUAGAGGCGGGUGGAAUUCCGGGUGUAGCGGUGGAAUGCGUAGAGAUCCGGAAGAACACCGGCGGCGAAGGCGGCCCGCUGGGCAACUGCUGACACUGAUGCGCGACAGCGUGGGGAGCAAACAGGAUUAGAUACCCUGGUAGUCCACGCCGUAAACGAUGAGAACUAGGUGUCGUGGGUGUUGACCCCCGCGGUGCCGUAGCUAACGCAUUAAGUUCUCCGCCUGGGAAGUACGGUCGCAAGACUA
rnacentral:rRNA from 1 species